rnacentral:rRNA from 1 species
CUAUCUGCCGUGGGCGCUGGAGAACUGAGGGGGGCUGCUCCUAGUACGAGAGGACCGGAGUGGACGCAUCACUGGUGUUCGGGUUGUCAUGCCAAUGGCACUGCCCGGUAGCUAAAUGCGGAAGAGAUAAGUGCUGAAAGCAUCUAAGCACGAAACUUGCCCCGAGAUGAGUUCUCCCUGACUCCUUGAGAGUCCUGAAGGAACGUUGAAGACGACGACGUUGAUAGGCCGGGUGUGUAAGCGCAGCGAUGCGUUGAGCUAACCGGUACUAAUGAACCGUGAGGCUUAACCUUACAACGCCGAAG